UACAGAGGUGGCAAGCGUUGUUCGGAAUUACUGGGCGUAAAGGGCGCGUAGGCGGCCUUCUAAGUCAGACGUGAAAUCCCCCGGCUUAACCUGGGAACUGCGUCUGAUACUGGGAGGCUUGAGUAUGGGAGAGGGAUGUAGAAUUCCAGGUGUAGCGGUGAAAUGCGUAGAUAUCUGGAGGAACACCGGUGGCGAAGGCGGCAUCCUGGACCGGUAUUGACGCUGAGGCGCGAAAGCUAGGGGAGCAAACGGG
rnacentral:rRNA from 1 species